rnacentral:rRNA from 1 species
UACGUAGGGGGCGAGCGUUGUCCGGAAUCAUUGGGCGUAAAGCGCGUGUAGGCGGUCCGGUAAGUCCGCUGUGAAAGUCGGGGGCUCAACCCUCGGAUGCCGGUGGAUACUGUCGGGCUUGAGUACGGAAGAGGCGAGUGGAAUUCCUGGUGUAGCAGUGAAAUGCGCAGAUAUCAGGAGGAACACCAAUUGCGAAGGCAGCUCGCUGGGACGUUACUGACGCUGAGACGCGAAAGCGUGGGGAGCAAACAGG